AGAGUUUGAUCCUGGCUCAGAACGAACGCUGGCGGCGUGUUUAAGACAUGCAAGUCGAACGGACCAAAGUUGUAGCAAUACCGCUUUGGUCAGUGGCGCACGGGUGCGUAACACGUGAGUUACAUGCCCUGCAGUGGGGAAUAGCCCGCCGAAAGGCGGAUUAAUACCCCAUGGUCCCGCGAGGGUAAAGGUGGCGAAAGCUGCCGCUGCAGGAUUGGCUCGCGGCCUAUCAGCUAGUUGGCGGGGUAACGGCCCACCAAGGCGACGACGGGUACCUGGUCUGAGAGGAUGAUCAGGCACACUGGAACUGAGACACGGUCCAGACACCUACGGGUGGCAGCAGUCGAGAAUAAUUCACAAUGGGCGAAAGCCUGAUGGUGCAACGCCGCGUGGAGGAUGAAGGUCUUCGGAUUGUAAACUCCUGUCAUCGGGGAGUAAGACCUGGGCGUGAAUAGCGCACAGGGUUGAUAGUACCCGAAGAGGAAGGGACGGCUAACUUCGUGCCAGCAGCCGCGGUAAUACGAAGGUCCCAAGCGUUGUUCGGAAUCACUGGGCGUAAAGGGAGCGUAGGCUGCGCGGUAAGUCAGAUGUGAAAUCCCGGGGCUCAACCCCGGAACUGCAUCCGAUACUGCCGUGCUUGAGGGUUGGAGAGGUAGCUGGAAUUCUCGGUGUAGCAGUGAAAUGCGUGGAUAUCGAGAGGAACACUCGUGGCGAAUGCGAGCUACUGGACAACAUCUGACGCUGAGCUCGAAAGCCAGGGGAGCAAAAGGGAUUAGAUACCCCUGUAGUCCUGGCAGUAAACGGUGUGCGCUUGGUGUGAGGGGAUUCGACCCCCCUUGUGCCGGAGCUAACGCGUUAAGCGCACCGCCUGGGAAGUACGGCCGCAGGCUAAAACUCAAAGAAAUUGACGGGGACCCGCACAAGCGGUGGAGUAUGUGGCUUAAU
rnacentral:rRNA from 1 species